GUACUGCUGAAGAGUUUCAAACCAGGACGAAACAGCUGUCCAGUAC
rfam:Trichobilharzia regenti genome assembly, scaffold: TRE_scaffold0017668